GAUCCCAUAGCUCAACAGGAUAGAGCUUCCGUUUCCUAAACGGCAGAUCCAGGUUCAAGUCCUGGUGGGAUCACCA
rnacentral:tRNA from 1 species